AUGAGGAUGAGUUGAAUGUCUGUGUUGAGCAGUAGCUCCAUGAAUUCUGCUGCUGUACCCAUGGACCUUUGGCUUGGGGAAGAACAACAUGCAAGGCAGCCUUCACCCUGUGUGAGAUCCAGCUCACCUUGAAGUCCAUUUCCAUUUGCACUGGUGCAAGAUGGUGGAGGAGAAGCUUGGGGCCUGACAACAGGAGCAAAGGCGCUCUUUUGUUUCACUGCAGAGAUGACAUUGGCAGGCACAGUAGAGAGGAAAGAAGAACUGGGAGAAAAAGUAUCAGUGAAAACAAAGGUGAGGUACACUGGGAAUUCCAAGGACUAGUGGAGAAGAGCUGGACAUGUCAUUUGUGACUCAUUCUUUUAAUUCACCGUGCUAAUCAACUGAACUGCCACAAUCUCCCAAGGUAAUUGUAUCUUUACAAUAGUUGAAAGCAGCAGGCAAAAAGGCAUGGAUAGAUGGUAAUAGACCUUCCUCUCAGCCUGCUGAGAAACAGAAC